ACGACUCUCGGCAACGGAUAUCUAGGCUCUCGCAUCGAUGAAGAACGUAGCAAACUGCGAUAGUUGGUGUGAAUUGCAGAAUCCCGUGAACCAUGGAGUCUUUGAACGCAAGUUGCGCCCCAAAGCCAUUAGGCCGAGGGCACGUCUGCCUGGGCGUCACG
rnacentral:rRNA from 1 species